rnacentral:rRNA from 1 species
ACCAGACUCCUACGGGAGGCAGCAGUGGGGAAUAUUGCACAAUGGGGGAAACCCUGAUGCAGCAACGCCGCGUGAGUGAAGAAGUAUUUCGGUAUGUAAAGCUCUAUCAGCAGGGAAGAAGAUGACGGUACCUGAGUAAGAAGCCCCGGCUAACUACGUGCCAGCAGCCGCGGUAAUACGUAGGGGGCAAGCGUUAUCCGGAUUUACUGGGUGUAAAGGGAGCGUAGACGGUGAGACAAGUCUGAAGUGAAAGCCCGGGGCUCAACCCCGGGACUGCUUUGGAAACUGCCUGACUGGAGUGCUGGAGAGGCAAGCGGAAUUCCUAGUGUAGCGGUGAAAUGCGUAGAUAUUAGGAAGAACACCAGUGGCGAAGGCGGCCUGCUGGACAGUAACUGACGUUGAGGCUCGAAAGCGUGGGGAGCAAACAGGAUUAGAUACCCCAGUAAGC